rnacentral:rRNA from 1 species
GUGUCAGCCGCCGCGGUAAGACGUAGGGGGCCAGCGUUGUUCGGAAUUACUGGGUGUAAAGUGUUCGUAGGCGGUGCGGCAAGUCGGGUGUGAAAGCCCUCGGCUUAACUGAGGAAGUGCAAACGAAACUACCGGACUUGAAUACUGAAGAGGAUCGCGGAGUUCCCGGUGUAGAGGUGAAAUUCGUAGAUAUCGGGAGGAACACCAGUGGCGAAGGCGGCGAUCUGGGCAGAUAUUGACGCUGAGGUGCGAAAGCGUGGGGAGCAAACAGGAUUAGAAACCCCAGUAGUCC